rnacentral:rRNA from 1 species
CAGAGGGGGAUAACGUUUGGAAACGAACGCUAAUACCGCAUGAUAUUAUUGGGCAGCAUUGCCUGAUAAUCAAAGGAGCAAUCCGCUGAAAGAUGGGCUCGCGUCCGAUUAGGUAGUUGGCGGGGUAACGGCCCACCAAGCCGACGAUCGGUAGCCGGACUGAGAGGUUGAACGGCCACAUUGGGACUGAGACACGGCCCAGACUCCUACGGGAGGCAGCAGUGAGGGAUAUUGGUCAAUGGGGGAAACCCUGAACCAGCAACGCCGCGUGAGGGAAGACGGUUUUCGGAUUGUAAACCUCUGUCCUCUGUGAAGAUGAUGACGGUAGCAGAGGAGGAAGCUCCGGCUAACUACGUGCCAGCAGCCGCGGUAAUACGUAGGGAGCAAGCGUUGUCCGGAUUUACUGGGUGUAAAGGGUGCGUAGGCGGCUUUGCAAGUCAGAAGUGAAAUCUAUGGGCUUAACCCAUAAACUGCUUUUGAAACUGCAGGGCUUGAGUGAAGUAGAGGUAGGCGGAAUUCCCGGUGUAGCGGUGAAAUGCGUAGAGAUCGGGAGGAACACCAGUGGCGAAGGCGGCCUACUGGGCUUUAACUGACGCUGAGGCACGAAAGCGUGGGUAGCAAACAGGAUUAGAUACCCUGGUAGUCCACGCUGUAAACGAUGAUUACUAGGUGUGGGUGGACUGACCCCAUCCGUGCCGGAGU